GUAAUACUCCCUCCGUCCAGAAAUACUUGUCAUCAAAAUGAAUAAAAGGGGAUGUAUCUAAAUGUAUAUUAGUUCUAGAUACAUCUUUUUUUAUCCAUUUUGAUGACAAGUAUUUCCGGACGGAGGGAGUACUUG
rnacentral:pre_miRNA from 1 species